CACACCCGUUCCCAUACCGAACACGGAAGUUAAGCUCUCUAGCGCCGAUGGUAGUUGGGACUUUGUCCCUGUGAGAGUAGGACGUUGCCAGGC
rnacentral:rRNA from 1 species